GCGAAAGUGGCGGAAUUGGUAGACGCACUGGUUUUAGGUACCAACGCCGAAAGGCGUGAGAGUUCGAGUCUCUCCUUUCGCACCA
rnacentral:tRNA from 1 species